UCACUGUGUUUUCGAGGAGUCAAAAUAUUUGAUGCGAAAAUUACAUUAUUGUGAAAUUGUCAAUACCGAGGGGUCAAAGUUCAUUGCGUUAAAGAUUUUUUAUUUUCCGAAAGAAAAGAUGAAACUUUUUUUCUUAAGAGUGAAAGAAUGAGAAAUUGAGAGAUCACCGAGAGUCUAUAAACUACUGAUGCUUGGACUUAUCUGAGGCCACCGCAAGAGAGAGAGUUCUAUAUGAAAGUUGCCGCUACCGUCUGGCCACCACUUGCGGCUUAGGACAGGUGUAUGCUAGGCAACAUCAACAAUAAUAGCUAUGGCAGCAACUCAACUUCAGCAGUAACAUCACAGGAUUUAUGAUGGCUGAACCAAUGCUCAUGGUUGGUGGCAAUAAUGCUCAACUUAAGUUGCUGCAUAGCUGAUGUUGGUGCUGCUUUUGGAGGCUUAAGUAGCUACAUAAUUGCUGGUGUUGUUGUUGGAGGCGUGAUGGAUGCUUUGAUUGAUUUGGGAUAGCCAAAGAAAUUUUUGCGGAUUCUUUUCCAAAUUUUUUUGAAACAUAGUGAUGCAGCGGAUUUAUAAAGACCAAUGGACUUAAAUGACUUCAUAAGUCAUCUAUUCAAGAUGUCAACUGUGAUAUAAUGUAUGCGAAGAUCUUGAACAUAACAAAUUAUAAUUGAACUAAACGAUCUCUUACACCUAUCUCCAUUCAAUUUAGGAGAUACUAUUGGUACAAUUUAUUCUUUUAUGUUGUAUUGUAUUUAGUAG